rnacentral:rRNA from 1 species
AGAGUUUGAUCCUGGCUCAGAACGAACGCUGGCGGCGUGGAUAAGACAUGCAAGUCGAGCGGGAUUUUUUCUUGUAGCAAUACAGGGAAAAGUCUAGCGGCGAACGGGUGCUUAACACGUGGGCAACCUGCCAAGAAGUGGGGGAUAGCUCGCCGAAAGGCGAAUUAAUACCGCAUGUGAUCAGAGUGGACAUCCAUUCAAAAUCAAAGUCGGGGCAACCUGACGCUUCUUGAGGGGCCCGCGGCCUAUCAGCUAGUUGGUGGGGUAACGGCCCACCAAGGCUUAGACGGGUAGCUGGUCUGAGAGGACGACCAGCCACACUGGGACUGAGACACGGCCCAGACACCUACGGGUGGCAGCAGUCGAGAAUUUUUCUCAAUGGGGGAAACCCUGAAGGAGCGACGCCGCGUGGAGGAUGAAGGUCUUCGGAUUGUAAACUCCUGUCAUUGGGGAACAAUGCGCAAAUAUUAACUGUAUUUGCGUUGAUAGUACCCGAAGAGGAAGAGACGGCUAACUCUGUGCCAGCAGCCGCGGUAAUACAGAGGUCUCAAGCGUUGUUCGGAUUCAUUGGGCGUAAAGGGUGCGUAGGCGGCGCGGUAAGUCGGGUGUGAAAUCUCGGAGCUUAACUCCGAAACUGCAUUCGAUACUGCCGUGCUUGAGGACUGGAGAGGAGACUGGAAUUUACGGUGUAGCGGUGAAAUGCGUAGAUAUCGUAAGGAAGACCAGUGGCGAAGGCGGGUCUCUGGACAGUUCCUGACGCUGAGGCACGAAGGCCAGGGGAGCAAACGGGAUUAGAUACCCUAGUAGUCC